ensembl:lncRNA
GUCUGAACUUUGGUUCAAAGACUUUGCAGCACUUUUGUGAGAAUGAGUUUCAUAUUGAUAUCAAAGAUUAACAGGACAGCAUGACUGAGUUAUAGCAGAACAGCAACCGGCUUCAGCUUCACAUAGUAGUUCUGUUUAAUAAUUCAACAAAAUAUCACAGUGUUUCUGUUUAUGGGCUUUAACGCAAUCAGCGUUCAGAAAAAGAAGGCGGAGUAAUGAAACAUUGGACAGUCUCCUCCCCAUUCACUUUGGAAAGUCUCAUUUUUAGCCUUCUGCCUGCAUAGCACACAGAUACUCUCUCCUUUCUUCUGCCAGAGCUGGAGCAUCAAAAAAUAUGUUUGAUGCCAGGAUCUUACUGUUGCUGCUCCUGUCUGGACAUCGGAGAGCUUCUGACGAUUUGACGUACGAGGAUGAAGCACAAACAGGAGAGCUGACAGCUAUGACAAAGGAACAAAGAGAGUAUCUACGUUGGUUCUACCGCACAGAGGACUCAACCACAUGGACAUUUGUACUGCUGGGACUGGCCUUUGUCUGCCUUCUUGUUGGUUUUCUUCUCCUGGGAAUGGGAGCCAUGGCAAAUAAGAGCAGGAAGAAGAUAGCCGAGUACAAGGCUGCAACAUCUCUGCUUCAGAAAAAUGAAGAUCAGGAGCUGCUCAAAGAAAACAGCACACACCCAGCAUCAGACAUGCCACUGCAGGGAAACAAGCCUCACAUGUCCAACAGUGACACAAGUGAGCAGAGCAAUGCAGGAAAUAUUGUGGUCACAUGGAAAGAUGGCAACACCUCCUGCCUGUACCCAGAUCCUGCGGUGGAAGAGAAACAGGAGGAAGAGAGGAAAGAGAAAAUAACAGCUGCUGAGCUCGACUCUCCAGAUGAAGUGAAGAUUAUGAGCUGAAGAGGUCACAGUGAAUACCAGCGGCAGUGGGAGUGGCAGUGUUUGCUUUAAUAAUUGAUCAUAAUUUUCUGAUUAUUCUUAUUUUCAUGACUUCAGAGUGAAAUUUUAUGAAACCCUCAAAUGAUCAGAAAACAGUUCUCUUUUUUAUUCAUUCCUAAUAAAGCUCAUAACAGUUUACAUUACAGUUUCAAUGGGUGGUUGCGCUCAUAAAAUGUGUCCACGUGGGAACAAAAGUUGUAUAAAAAUGGUUCCCUGUAAAGGUAUUCUAUAAAAACAGUUUCUGGAUGUAAGUUCAGAUCUGCUUAUGUGUGCUUCCCCCAAUGGGCUUCGCCAUUGUUAGUUUUGGGGUGGCUAAAGGAGGCAGCUCUGCCCCUGCUGAUGGUUCAGUUUCUAGGGCUCCUCUUGUGGUGUUGAUGAUGAUUUCUGGUUUGAUGGGCUGUAAAGUUGCUUUCAAUAAGGUUCUGUCCACAGGGAGUCUGACAAAUAGACACCGAAUGUUCUAGUCUUCCUCCAUCCUGUGUUGUGAACUGAAAUGGGAAAAACUUAAUGAGAUUUGAGUACUUUUGUGUGUUGUGCUGAUGCCUCAGAUAUUAUUGCAUCACAAUAAAUCACUUGCUUUGAUCUUGAAGGCC